GUGUGUGUGUUGUUCAGGGAGCUUCCUCCUCGGGAUUUUACUAUACAUAGUCAUUACAGUGAACUGCUCGAUAGGUUUGUUGUUCAGUAGGCUACAUGAACGGAUGGCCAUCUGGCAAUUCAGGCAAGUGCCAGUGGGACUGGCCCGUCGUGUAUUGGGAAGAGCAUAUCUAAAAUAAAAAUAAAAAAUACACGUUUUUAUAAUUUUUUUAGGGGAUGGGCAGCCAUCUCGUAGUAGUGAUUGGGACCGAUGAUUGCUCUGUAUGGUAGCCAAGAAAUAUGGUCAUUUUAGAGGACCACUUUUUCCCCCUUGUGAAGAUCCCAUAUUCCAGGAUGAUAACCCUUACACACUGCUAAACUAAUUCAAGAGAAAAUGUAUGAACACCAGGACGAUGUCAAACACAUUCCAUUGCCUCUGCAAUCUGAACUCUGUUGAACCUUUUAUGGCACUUCUGGAAUGCAGAUUGAGAAGUGAGCUCAGGUAAGGACUGAUGAGAACAGCAGGCCAAUGGAGCCCAUACAUCAGCGAUAGACGCAGGUGACAGCUGCUCCGAAUUCCUCCAUCCACCAUGGGACCACACAGUGUUCUUCACCUGGAAGAAGACGAGAGAUGAAGUAUGGCUGAGGUUGGUCAAGAGAAUCAUGGGAGAGGGCAUCAGCCUUCUGGUUCCAUUCCAGUGUGUUUUGAGACUAGGAUGACUUGAGCGGAAACACAUUGAGAGACUGAUCAAUAGUCUUUCUUCAGAGGGCCUCGGAAAGGUGUUUUGGAUCCUCCGAAUGUACUCUGUAAUGUUUUUGUAAUCAUUUGCACCUGUUUUUGUUCAUUUGAUUAAUAUUUUAGCCAAUUUAUGUGAUUCUGCAUCAGGAAAUUGCUUUUCUGUUUAUUUUAUUUGCAUAAAUGGUUUCAAGGUUAAAGUUUUUUGUGUGAUUUGAUAAAUUGGGUGGGAAUUUUGGCUGGGAAUUUAGCUCAAAUAUGUGUAUAAAUAAUAAAAAUAAAAUCUCUCUUUCCAGGGGAUGUACUUACUUUUAUACAUGACAUUAAUGUACAUGAGAUUUUAUUUGUUCAGUAAACUGGCAUUAGUUUCUAAAAACAUAUUUUGACUUUGUCACAGUGGCGCAUUCUGUUUACAGUAGAUUGAUUGUAAAGAAACAAAGUAAUCAAUAAAAAAGGUCUAUAAUACAACAACAUGGAGAAAGUGAAGGGGUAUGAAUACUUUCUGAAGGCAUUGUAUGUUAUGUUUAUUAUAAAUGCAUGAUGUGCCCUUGCUUUGUAGGCAAA